rnacentral:sRNA from 17 species
GUCAGUAACCCACCCCUAAAGGGGAUGGGCUUGCAAGACGAAAGUCAAAACAAGCCAUACUGACCAGCCUAAGACUUUCGAGGUCUACGUUUUUUGAGUCAAGACACCAGGCGGAUGCGUAGCUAGUCCUCUGCCCUGUC